UUAAAGACACUUGAUGCUUGGUAUCAAAAAUCUAAAAGUCUGAAAAAAGUUUACUAUGACUUCAUUGCUGCAAUACUCUAAAAGAAUUGCAAGAGAAUGAUUGAGGUUGCUAAUGAUAUUGAUAUUUCAGUGGCCAUGCCAGCCAGAGAUCUUCAAGCAACUACUGAGGUAAUCAGAGAUUGGCUUCUAACAGAUGAUGAGUUGGAUCCUUUGUAUUAUUGCUCUUUGAUGAACCACAAAUGAUUGGAUACACCAUUGGAGAAUAAUUGGAAUAUAAUCAUUUGAAAAGGUAACUCCCAAUCAUGCCCUUUCAGAAAUUUAUCAUAUUACAGUUCAGUGUUUAAAUGUUAAUUUAAUCCAAGGUUCAUUAGUAUGCUGAUGAUAUAUCCAGGUGGGGACAAUGAAUCCCCUAAGUUCAUCUGGGAAGAAUGUUGAGAAUUCUAUGAAAUUUCUAGAUUAUACAAUCCAAAGUGCUUAUGUUAUUGAUGAUGUUUGGGCCAUAAGAGUUCAUUUCUGAAUAAAAUGCAAUUAACUUUUGUCCCCUCCAUUUUAGGUGAGUAAAUUAUCAACAUUUAUGUAUUAAAAGUACCACAUAAAAAUACUACAUUCUUUACAAAUACUCUAGCAUAUUUUUUCAUGUCUAUUUUACAGGACUGGAAGUGCAUUAUCUCUAAGCUCCUGCCAAGAAGACUAUUCAAGAAAAGCCUACUCCUGCUACCAACAAUCAAAAGUUAAAUUAUACUAAAGCUCAAAGUAUGGCCAUUUAAGAGAUAAUAUUUUUAGCUAAUGCUAAUUAUAAAGGUGACAAUGACAUGCAUUCUUUGUAACUUAGAUGUUUUAAAAAUAAACUUCUUAUGGAAGUAUCUAGAAAUUUGCAAUUUAAUCUGUUGCCUCUUGUUCCAGUAACUUUCUGUUACUUCAUCGUUCAGUAGCGACAAAUGAUAUCUGUAACUUUACUCAUGCAUCUGCCUAUUUCUAAUUCAUAUACUUGUUACACUUAUGUUGGUCCAAGUUUCUUGGCCCAGCUGAACUGAACAGGUGUACCAAAAAGAAAAAGAAUGAAGACAUUUUGGUAUUAAUAAAUAAUUAUGUGCAGAUGCAUGUGCAUUAAAGCAACUAUUAUGACCAAAA